rnacentral:rRNA from 1 species
ACCUCCCACCCUAUGUUGUAAAACCACGUUGCCUCGGGGGUGACCCGGCCUCGGUCGGCGCCCCCGGUGGACCACUCAACUCUGCAUCUGAGCGUCUGAGUCAAUUUGUUAAUCAAAUUAAAACUUUCAACAACGGAUCUCUUGGUUCUGGCAUCGAUGAAGAACGCAGCGAAAUGCGAUAAGUAAUGUGAAUUGCAGAAUUCAGUGAAUCAUCGAAUCUUUGAACGCACAUUGCGCCCCGUGGUAUUCCGCGGGGCAUGCCUGUUCGAGCGUCAUUUCACCACUCAAGCCUGGCUUGGUAUUGGGCGCCGCGUGCUCCGGCACGCGCGCCUCAAAGUCUCCGGCUGAGCUGUCUGUCCUCCAGCGUUGUGAUUUUAUAUUCGCUACGAGGUACAGAUGGCCGCGGCCGUUAAACUUCUUACAGGUUGACCUCGGAUCAGGUAGG